rnacentral:rRNA from 1 species
AGAGUUUGAUCAUGGCUCAGGAUGAACGCUGGCGGCGUGCCUAACACAUGCAAGUCGAGCGAUUUACUUCGGUAAAGAGCGGCGGACGGGUGAGUAACGCGUGGGUAACUGCCCUGUACACACGGAUAACAUACCGAAAGGUAUGCUAAUACGAGAUAAUAUGCUUUUAUCGCAUGGUAGAAGUAUCAAAGCUUUUGCGGUACAGGAUGGACCCGCGUCUGAUUAGCUAGUUGGUAAGGUGACGGCUUACCAAGGCGACGAUCAGUAGCCGACCUGAGAGGGUGAUCGGCCACAUUGGAACUGAGACACGGUCCAAACUCCUACGGGAGGCAGCAGUGGGGAAUAUUGCACAAUGGGCGAAAGCCUGAUGCAGCAACGCCGCGUGAGCGAUGAAGGCCUUCGGGUCGUAAAGCUCUGUCCUCAAGGAAGAUAAUGACGGUACUUGAGGAGGAAGCCCCGGCUAACUACGUGCCAGCAGCCGCGGUAAUACGUAGGGGGCUAGCGUUAUCCGGAAUUACUGGGCGUAAAGGGUGCGUAGGUGGUUUCUUAAGUCAGAGGUGAAAGGCUACGGCUCAACCGUAGUAAGCCUUUGAAACUGGGAAACUUGAGUGCAGGAGAGGAGAGUGGAAUUCCUAGUGUAGCGGUGAAAUGCGUAGAUAUUAGGAGGAACACCAGUUGCGAAGGCGGCUCUCUGGACUGUAACUGACACUGAGGCACGAAAGCGUGGGGAGCAAACAGGAUUAGAUACCCUGGUAGUCCACGCCGUAAACGAUGAGUACUAGCUGUCGGAGGUUACCCCCUUCGGUGGCGCAGCUAACGCAUUAAGUACUCCGCCUGGGAAGUACGCUCGCAAGAGUGAAACUCAAAGGAAUUGACGG